GCAUAUCAAUAAGCGGAGGAAAAGAAACCAACAGGGAUUGCUCUAGUAACGGCGAGUGAAGCAGCAAUAGCUCAAAUUUGAAAUCUGGCGUCUUCGACGUCCGAGUUGUAAUUUGUAGAGGAUGCUUCUGAGUAACCACCGACCUAAGUUCCUUGGAACAGGACGUCAUAGAGGGUGAGAAUCCCGUAUGCGGUCGGAAAGGUGCUCUACACGUAGCUCCUUCGACGAGUCGAGUUGUUUGGGAAUGCAGCUCUAAAUGGGAGGUAAAUUUCUUCUAAAGCUAAAUAUUGGCCAGAGACCGAUAGCGCACAAGUAGAGUGAUCGAAAGAUGAAAAGCACUUUGGAAAGAGAGUUAAAAAGCACGUGAAAUUGUUAAAAGGGAAGGGAUUGCAACCAGACUUGCUCGCGGUGUUCCGCCGGUCUUCUGACCGGUCUACUCGCCGCGUUGCAGGCCAGCAUCGUCUGGUGCCGCUGGAUAAGACUUGAGGAAUGUAGCUCCCUCGGGAGUGUUAUAGCCUCUUGUGAUGCAGCGAGCGCCGGGCGAGGUCCGCGCUUCGGCUAGGAUGCUGGCGUAAUGGUCGUAAUCCGCCCGUCUUGAAACACGGACC
rnacentral:rRNA from 1 species